AUUGAACGCUGGCGGCAGGCUUAACACAUGCAAGUCGAGCGGAAGAAGCGACUUUGCCUCUGGAUUCAGCGGCGGACGGGUGAGUAAUGCCUAGGAAACUGCCUGGUAGUGUGGGAUCAAGUCCGGUAUAGGGCGCUAAUACCGCAUAUGUUCUGCGGGAGGACGUGGGGGAUCUUCGGACGUCAGGCUAUCAGAUGAGCCUAGGUCGGAUUAGCCAGUGGGUGGGGUAACGGCCUACCAAGGCGACGACCCGUAACUGCUCUGAGAGGAUGAUCAGUCACACUGGAACUGAGACACGGUCCAGACUCCGACGGGAGGCAGCAGUAGGAAAUAUUGAACAAUGGGCGAAAGCCUGAUCCAGCCAUGCCGCGGGUGUGAAGAAGGUCUUCGGAUUGUAAAGCACUUUAAGUUGGGAGGGAGAGCAGUAAGUUAAUACCUUGCUGUUUUGACGUUACCAACAGAAUAAGCACCGGCUAACUUCGUG
rnacentral:rRNA from 1 species